AUUGAACGCUGGCGGCAUGCUUUACACAUGCAAGUCGAACGGUAACAGGCCGCAAGGUGCUGACGAGUGGCGCACGGGUGAGUAAUGCAUCGGAACGUGCCCAGUCGUGGGGGAUAACUACUCGAAAGAGUAGCUAAUACCGCAUACGAUCUAUGGCUGAAAGCGGGGGACCGUAAGGCCUCGCGCGAUUGGAGCGGCCGCUGUCAGAUUAGGUAGUUGGUGGGGUAAAGGCUCACCAAGCCAACGAUCUGUAGCUGGUCUGAGAGGACGACCAGCCACACUGGGAAUGAGACACGGCCCAGACUCCUACGGGAGGCAGCAGUGGGGAAUUUUGGACAAUGGGCGCAAGCCUGAUCCAGCAAUGCCGCGUGCAGGAAGAAGGCCUUCGGGUUGUAAAAUGCUUUUGUACGGAACGAAACGGCUCUGGUUAAUACCCGGGGAUAAUGACGGUACCGUAAGAAUAAGCACCGGCUAACUACGUG
rnacentral:rRNA from 1 species